rnacentral:rRNA from 1 species
UACGUAGGGUGCAAGCGUUGUCCGGAAUUAUUGGGCGUAAAGAGCUCGUAGGCGGUUCGUCGCGUCGGCUGUGAAAACCUGAGGCUCAACCUCAGGCCUGCAGUCGAUACGGGCGGACUUGAGUACUGCAGGGGAGACUGGGAUUCCUGGUGUAGCGGUGAAAUGCGCAGAUAUCAGGAGGAACACCGGUGGCGAAGGCGGGUCUCUGGGCAGUAACUGACGCUGAGGAGCGAAAGCGUGGGGAGCGAACAGG